rfam:Eubacterium sp. CAG:38 genomic scaffold, scf54
GGACCACUCUUUUAUUCAGAGUCAAGGCCAUACGGACAGCCGGGUCCACUGCCGA